rnacentral:rRNA from 1 species
GUAGGGUGCGAGCGUUUAAUCGGGAAUUACUGGGGCGUAAAGCGUGCGCAGGCGGUCUGCUAAGACAGAUGUGAAAUCCCCCGGGGCUCAACCUGGGAACUGCAUUUGUGACUGGCAGGCUAGAGUAUGGCAGAGGGGGGUAGAAUUCCACGUGUAGCAGUGAAAUGCGUAGAGAUGUGGAGGAAUACCGAUGGCGAAGGCAGCCCCCCUGGGCCAAUACUGACGCUCAUGCACGAAAGCGUGGGGAGCAAACAGGAUUAGAUACCCUGGUAGUCCACGCCCUAAACGAUGUCAACUAGUUGUUGGGGAUUCAUUUCCUUAGUAACGUAGCUAACGCGUGAAGUUGACCGCCUGGGGAGUACGGUCGCAAGAUUA